GGGAAUAUUGAACAAUGGGCGCCAAGCCUGAUGCAGCGACGCCGCAUGAAGGAUGACGGCUUCGGGUAGUAAACCUCUGUAGCAUCGAAGAAAGCGAAAGUGACGGUAGGUGCAGAGAAAGCGCCGGCUAACUACGUGCCAGCAGCCGCGGUAAUACGUAGGGCGCCGAGCGUUGUUCCGGAAUUAUUGGGCGUAAAGAGCUUGUAGGCGGUUGGUCGCGUCUGCUGUGAAAGGCUGGGGCUUAACCCUGGUUUUGCAGUGGGUACGGGCUAACUAGAGUGCAGUAGGGGAGACUGGAAUUCCUGGUGUAGCGGUGGAAUGCGCAGAUAUCAGGAGGAACACCGAUGGCGAAGGCAGGUCUCUGGGCUGUAACUGACGCUGAGAAGCGAAAGCAUGGGGAGCGAACAGGAUUAGAUACCCUGGUAGUCCAUGCCGUAAACGUUGGGCACUAGGUGUGGGGGACAUUCCACGUUUUCCGCGCCGUAGCUAACGCAUUAAGUGCCCCGCCUGGGGAGUACGGCCGCAAGGCUAAAACUCAAAGAAAUUGACGGGGGCCCGCACAAGCGGCGGAGCAUGCGGAUUAAUUCGAUGCAACGCGAAGAACCUUACCAAGGCUUGACAUAUACUGGACUGCGUCAGAGAUGGCGUUUCCCUUCGGGGCUGGUAUACAGGUGGUGCAUGGUUGUCGUCAGCUCGUGUCGUGAGAUGUUGGGUUAAGUCCCGCAACGAGCGCAACCCUCGUUCUAUGUUGCCAGCACGUGAUGGUGGGGACUCAUAGGAGACUGCCGGGGUCAACUCGGAGGAAGGUGGGGAUGACGUCAAAUCAUCAUGCCCCUUAUGUCUUGGGCUUCACGCAUGCUACAAUGGCCGGUACAGAGGGUUGCGAUACUGUGAGGUGGAGCUAAUCCCUAAAAGCCGGUCUCAGUUCGGAUUGGGGUCUGCAAACUCGACCCCUUGAAGUCGGAGUCGCUAGUAAUCGCAGAUCAGCAAACGCUGCGGUGAUUCGUUUCCCG
rnacentral:rRNA from 1 species